UGAGCAAUCUGCCCUUCUCUCUGGGACAACCCCGGGAAACCGGAGCUAAUACCGGAUACUCCGGCUGGAUCGCAUGGUCCGGCCGGGAAAGGUCCGCCGGAGAGGGAUGGGCCCGCGGCCUAUCAGCUUGUUGGUGAGGUAAUGGCUCACCAAGGCGACGACGGGUAGCCGGCCUGAGAGGGUGACCGGCCACACGUGGGACUGAGACACGGCCCAGACCUCCGUACGGGAGGCA
rnacentral:rRNA from 1 species